UACAGAGGGGGCAAGCGUUGUUCGGAAUUACUGGGCGUAAAGGGCGCGUAGGCGGCCUGUUAAGUCAGACGUGAAAUCCCUCGGCUCAACCGGGGAACUGCGUCUGAUACUGGCGGGCUUGAAUUCGGGAGAGGGAUGUGGAAUUCCAGGUGUAGCGGUGAAAUGCGUAGAUAUCUGGAGGAACACCGGUGGCGAAGGCGGCUACCUGGACCGGAACUGACGCUGAGGCGCGAAAGCGUGGGUAGCAAACAGG
rnacentral:rRNA from 1 species